UGAAAUCUGAUUCUCAAUGGGGGAACACC
rnacentral:piRNA from 1 species